rnacentral:rRNA from 1 species
UACGGAGGGUGCAAGCGUUAUUCGGAAUUACUGGGCGUAAAGCGCACGCAGGUGGCUGAGUCAGUCGAUUGUGAAAGCCCUGGGCUUAACCUGGGAAUUGCAGUCGAUACUACUCAGCUAGAGUAUGGGAGAGGGUAGUGGAAUUCCCGGUGUAGCGGUGAAAUGCGUAGAUAUCGGGAGGAACAUCAGUGGCGAAGGCGGCUACCUGGCCCAAUACUGACACUCAGGUGCGACAGCGUGGGGAGCAAACAGG